rnacentral:sRNA from 1 species
AUCGUGAUCUACCGCGGCGGCGUGCCGUUUUCCGCCAGCACGUCGCCGACCAGGUAG